rnacentral:rRNA from 1 species
UACGUAGGGUGCAAGCGUUGUCCGGAAUUAUUGGGCGUAAAGAGCUCGUAGGCGGUUUGUCGCGUCGUCUGUGAAAACUCGAGGCUCAACCUCGAGCUUGCAGGCGAUACGGGCAGACUUGAGUACUGCAGGGGAGACUGGAAUUCCUGGUGUAGCGGUGAAAUGCGCAGAUAUCAGGAGGAACACCGGUGGCGAAGGCGGGUCUCUGGGCAGUAACUGACGCUGAGGAGCGAAAGCGUGGGUAGCGAACAGG